CAGUCGCCACGGGAAUACGAGGGGAGCUAGCGUUGUUCGGAAUUACUGGGCGUAAAGCGCGCGUAGGCGGCUUUUUAAGUCAGAGGUGAAAGCCCGGGGCUCAACCCCGGAAUUGCCUUUGAAACUGGAAAGCUAGAAUCUUGGAGAGGUCAGUGGAAUUCCGAGUGUAGAGGUGAAAUUCGUAGAUAUUCGGAAGAACACCAGUGGCGAAGGCGACUGACUGGACAAGUAUUGACGCUGAGGUGCGAAAGCGUGGGGAGCAAACAGGAUUAGAUACCCCGGUAGUCCCUGUCUCUUAUAC
rnacentral:rRNA from 1 species